rnacentral:lncRNA from 10 species
UUUGCCAUGAGGAGAGAAUGAAGUCAAUGCCAUCAUGUAUGAACUUUGGAGAAUUAUCCAGCUGGGAGUUAGAAGAACUGAUUGUCUUUCUUAUUCUUCUAUCAAUCAACUAGGUGACCUGAGAGAACUCAAUUCUCCCUUGAGAGAGACCUGCCCUGGCACUAUGGAAUAAGCAUGCUACGUUAACUUUCUAAAGGCCACUGGGGAACAAUUUACUGAACUGCAAACUUAAAGGCUGUUAUUUUCUUAUACCCAUGGGUAUGGAAUUUUUCUCCAAGAGUAUGCCUGUCAAAACGACAAUAAAAGCUUUAUGAUAGAGAGAGUAGUUUCGAGAAGGAGAUUUGGUCUGAUUCAAGCUGUUCUAUCAAGGCCAGAAAGGGAAGUUCUUGGCAGUGUUGCUCAAGUGGACUACCUGACAACUCUAUAUUAAUGGUCCAUGGUGAGAUCAGAAGCUUGUGCCAGCAUAUAUACCAACACUGCUUCCUUCAUAUAAAAUUCUUCAUAUAAAAAUUCUUAUAUGUCCCCCACCCUGUAAAUGUUAGCUGCACCAAACAGUUAAUUUGCUUUCCUUACAAGCCUUAGUUGAUUUACAUUAUGACACAAGGUCCUUAACUCAUUACAGAGUAUAAAGAAAUAGUUCAAUGAUCAUCUAUCUAAGGAUCUCACUAGUUAUGAGACCAGAAAAAUGAAGCAUAAAAUAGCCAACAGUAAACCUAACUGCGUGUCAGUAACCCACAGCCUACAUUAAUAAGGAUUCCUUUUUAUGGAAUGCAUAUCUUAAGACAGAUUUAUCAGUUCAGCAACGUGCUUACAACUACCUGUAAUUGUUCUGAGAACUCUUGGCAAUUUGAUGUUUUUCAUAAUUAUUAUAAUAUAAAAUUAUUAUAUUACAAUGCAAAAUUAUUAUAUUAAAAUUAUUAUAAUUCCUUUCUCCUGUCACAGGCUAGUUCUCAUUUCUUCGCUCAGAACCUCAUCCUGAAAUGUCAGUGUUAUGUAGGACUUACUUCUCUUCUCACUGUGCAGCUUAUGGAAUUCCUAUGAUUCAAAUUGCCCACAUUCUGAUGGCAUCCCCUCAUCUGCCUCAUUAGCUGUAAUCUUUCUCAUGAAUUUCCUAUCCAUAU